rnacentral:lncRNA from 1 species
CUGUCUGCAACUCCAUAUAUGGAGUCAAAAUAGAAAAGAAUUUUGAGCUCAAUCUGUAAAUGUACACGAGUUCAAGCGCAACAAGGAUAAAAAAACUAUAGGCCGGUCUUAUAUAUCGCGCUAGUUAUAGUAUCACAGGCAGGUGCACAAUACAUAAUUUGUACUAUUGGUGACUUUGGUCUAUCGACUUAAUUUCAAAUAUGCAACUGCAAAUACUUGCUUCUAGCAUUAUAAUGCAAUCAAUACAAGUUGGAAUACAAAGCCAGAGAGAGGCAUGUAAAGAUAAAUAAAUAAAUCCUGAAAAACUUAGGUCAUACAGAUCAGGUCAAUUAAUUGAGUGGGAAAAAAGUUGUCUUGGCAGUGACCUCAUGUCGUCCAUCAAAUAAUGAAUCGUUGUAUUUGAGGUGGCACCUUGGAAGACUCAGAUCGAGGCAGGUGAAGGCCAAAGUUCUCUAUCGGUCUCAAAAAGAAAGAGAGUGAUUUUUUUAUUCCUGAAUGUACUGCACGUCCUAUCCUGUCGAUCCAACGUCUUGCCCUCUCCCCCCCCCCCCCCUCUUCUCUCCACACGCACCGGGCCCCUCCCCCUCCAGGCGCAGCCACUCCCUCUCUCUCCACUGCCACCGCCUCCUCCCCUCCCUCCAUCACGCGGCCAGCAUGGGCGGGCCCAGGAUUUCCAAAAUUGGUAUUCAAAAUUUUAAUGUAAAAAAAAAUGGACAGCCAAAAGGCAUGUAUUUUGGCAUAUAGAAGAUAUAGGCCUUGUUUGGAUCUCUGGCUUGCCUUGCUUAGCUAGGCUAGGAAAAACUAGCUCAGCUGGUCAUAGCUAGGAGGAGCUGGGCUUGUAGUUUGGUUAACAGCAAUUGCAAGCACGACUUGGCAGCGGUUUGCACCAAAGAAAGCAGAGCGAUGUGCUUGCCCGUGCGGGCUAGCCGAAUCGGCUCUCCUCCGAUGGCAAGCUUUUUCGUGCAGUUAUGGCAUAUCUUGCCUAGCAAAGCAAGAUUUUUUCUCCCCAACCAAACGAUUAUCCUAGCCAAGCGAGGCUACAACUCUCCUAGCCUGAGAUCCAAACGCACCCAUAGAGUAGAACUGAGCACAGGUUGAAUACGCAAAAAUAAUUGGUAUUCUACCACUAUAGAAGAUAUGGAGCAGAACUAGGUAUAUGUACUACAUAAACUAUAUAUAUCUACUCUCUCCGUUCCAUAAUUCUUGUCGAAACAGAAACAGGCCAGAUGCCAAACAAGCUUCAUUUCACAAGUGUCUACAAGAUAACAACAAGUUCUGCAGCAACCAAGCAUUUUUUUUCCUCUUUUUUUGAACUAAUGCAAAAUCUGUUACAUAAACAGUGCAUGAACAUCGCCAGGUAUGUUGAUCUGUCUGCAACUCCAUAUAUGGAGUUAAAAUAGAAAAGAAUUUCCAGCUCAAUCUGUAAAUGUACACGAGUUCAAGCGCAACAAGGAUAAAAACUAUAGGGCGGUCUUAUAUAUCGCGCUAGUUAUAAUAUCACAGGCAGAUGCACAAUACAUAAUUUGUACUAUUGGUGAUUUUGGUCUAUCGACUUAAUUUCAAAUAUGCAACUGCAAAUACUUGCUUCUAUGAGUCUAGCUAGCAUUAUAAUGCAAUCAAUACAAGUUGGAAUACAAAGCCAGAGAGAGGCAUGUAAAGAUAAAUAAAUAAAUCCUGAAAAACUUGAGUCAUACAGAAUUGGAAGGUUUGCAAUGCAAAAGUCAUAUAUUCUCCAGUAGUGUAACAACUUUCUUGUUAGGUCAAUUAAUUGAGUGGAAAAAAUCAGGUUGUCUUGGCAGUGACCUCAUGUCGUCCAUCAAAUAAUGAAUCGUUGUAUUUGAGGUGGCACCUUGGAAGACUCAGAUCGAGGCAGGUGAAGGCCAAAGUUCUCUAUCGGUCUCAAAAAGAAAGAGAGUGAAUUUUUUAUUCCCGAGCAUACUGCACGUCCUAUCCUAGCCGCACAUUUCAGUCGAUCCAACGUCUUGCCCUCUCUCCCAC